rnacentral:rRNA from 1 species
UACGUAGGGGGCUAGCGUUGUCCGGAAUCAUUGGGCGUAAAGAGCGCGUAGGCGGCUAGAUAAGUCCGGUGUGAAAGUCACAGGCUCAACCUGUGAAUGCCGCUGGAAACUGUCUGGCUAGAGUCCGGAAGGGGCGAGUGGAAUUCCUGGUGUAGCGGUGAAAUGCGCAGAUAUCAGGAAGAACACCAAUGGCGAAAGCAGCUCUCUGGGACGGUACUGACGCUGAGACGCGAAAGCGUGGGGAGCGAACAGG